UAGACCGCCUGGGGAGUACGGCCGCAAGGUUAAAACUCAAAUGAAUUGACGGGGGCCCGCACAAGCGGUGGAGCAUGUGGUUUAAUUCGAUGCAACGCGAAGAACCUUACCUGGUCUUGACAUCCACAGAAGAAUCCAGAGAUGGAUUUGUGCCUUCGGGAACUGUGAGACAGGUGCUGCAUGGCUGUCGUCAGCUCGUGUUGUGAAAUGUUGGGUUAAGUCCCGCAACGAGCGCAACCCUUAUCCUUUGUUGCCAGCGGUUAGGCCGGGAACUCAAAGGAGACUGCCAGUGAUAAACUGGAGGAAGGUGGGGAUGACGUCAAGUCAUCAUGGCCCUUACGACCAGGGCUACACACGUGCUACAAUGGCGCAUACAAAGAGAAGCGACCUCGCGAGAGCAAGCGGACCUCAUAAAGUGCGUCGUAGUCCGGAUUGGAGUCUGCAACUCGACUCCAUGAAGUCGGAAUCGCUAGUAAUCGUGGAUCAGAAUGCCACGGUGAAUACGUUCCCGGGCCUUGUACACACCGCCCGUCACACCAUGGGAGUGGGUUGCAAAAGAAGUAGGUAGCUUAACCUUCGGGAGGGCGCUUACCACUUUGUGAUUCAUGACUGGGGUGAAGUCGUAACAAGGUAACCGUAGGGGAACCUGCGGUUGGAUCACCUCCUUACCUGAAAGAAGC
rnacentral:rRNA from 1 species